UUUAUCGGGAGCGAAAUACUAUCGGUUAAUAACCGGUGGGGCUGACGGUACCCGAGGAAUAAGCACCGGCUAACUUCGUGCCAGCAGCCGCGGUAAUACGAAGGGUGCAAGCGUUAAUCGGAAUUACUGGGCGUAAAGGGUGCGUAGGCGGUUUGUUAAGUCUGUCGUGAAAUCCCCGGGCUCAACCUGGGAAUGGCGAUGGAUACUGGCAAGCUAGAGUGUGUCAGAGGAUGGUGGAAUUUCCGGUGUAGCGGUGAAAUGCGUAGAGAUCGGAAGGAACAUCAGUGGCGAAGGCGGCCAUCUGGGACAACACUGACGCUGAAGCACGAAAGCGUGGGGAGCAAACAGGAUUAGAUACCCUGGUAGUCCACGCCCUAAACGAUGCGAACUGGAUGUUGGUCUCAACUCGGAGAUCAGUGUCGAAGCUAACGCGUUAAGUUCGCCGCCUGGGGAGUACGGUCGCAAGACUGAAACUCAAAGGAAUUGACGGGGGCCCGCACAAGCGGUGGAGUAUGUGGUUUAAUUCGAUGCAACGCGAAGAACCUUACCUGGCCUUGACAUGUCUGGAAUCCUGCAGAGAUGCGGGAGUGCCUUCGGGAAUCAGAACACAGGUGCUGCAUGGCUGUCGUCAGCUCGUGUCGUGAGAUGUUGGGUUAAGUCCCGCAACGAGCGCAACCCUUGUCCUUAGUUGCCAGCACGUAAUGGUGGGAACUCUAAGGAGACUGCCGGUGACAAACCGGAGGAAGGUGGGGAUGACGUCAAGUCCUCAUGGCCCUUACGGCCAGGGCUACACACGUACUACAAUGGUCGGUACAGAGGGUUGCAAUACCGCGAGGUGGAGCCAAUCCCAGAAAGCCGAUCCCAGUCCGGAUCGGAGUCUGCAACUCGACUCCGUGAAGUCGGAAUCGCUAGUAAUCGCGGAUCAGCUAUGCCGCGGUGAAUACGUUCCCGGGCCUUGUACACACCGCCCGUCACACCAUGGGAGUGAGUUGCUCCAGAAGCCGUUAGUCUAACCGCAAGGGGG
rnacentral:rRNA from 1 species